AGCCGAAACGCUCAUCAAAACGAUGGGCGUCUGCGAUGACAUAGGAGCAUCGUACUGAUGAGGCAUCCUAGU
rnacentral:hammerhead_ribozyme from 1 species